AACAAGGUCUCCGUUGGUGAACCAGCGGAGGGAUCAUUACAGAGUUGCAAAACUCCCUAAACCAUUGUGAACGUUACCUUAUACCGUUGCUUCGGCGGGCGGACCGGGUCCUGCCCGGCGCCCCUCGGCCCCUCGCGGGGCGCCCGCCGGAGGUAAACCAAACUAUUGCAUUGUAUGGCCUCUCUGAGUCUUCUGUACUGAAUAAGUCAAAACUUUCAACAACGGAUCUCUUGGUUCUGGCAUCGAUGAAGAACGCAGCGAAAUGCGAUAAGUAAUGUGAAUUGCAGAAUUCAGUGAAUCAUCGAAUCUUUGAACGCACAUUGCGCCCGCCAGUAUUCUGGCGGGCAUGCCUGUUCGAGCGUCAUUUCAACCAUCAAGCCCCGGGCUUGUGUUGGGGACCUGCGGCUGCCGCAGGCCCUGAAAACCAGUGGCGGGCUCGCUAGUCACUCCGAGCGUAGUAGUUACAUCUCGCUCAGGGCGUGCUGCGGGUUCCGGCCGUUAAACCCCCCAUUUUACAAGGUUGACCUCGGAUCAGGUAGGAAGACCCGCUGAACUUAAGCAUAUCAAUAAGCGGAGGAAAAGAAACCAACAGGGAUUGCCCUAGUAACGGCGAGUGAAGCGGCAACAGCUCAAAUUUGAAAUCUGGCUUCGGCCCGAGUUGUAAUUUGCAGAGGAAGCUUUAGGCGCGGCACCAACUGAGUCCCCUGGAACGGGGCGCCACAGAGGGUGAGAGCCCCGUAUAGUUGGACGCCUAGCCUGUGUAAAGCUCCUUCGACGAGUCGAGUAGUUUGGGAAUGCUGCUCAAAAUGGGAGGUAAAUUUCUUCUAAAGCUAAAUACCGGCCAGAGACCGAUAGCGCACAAGUAGAGUGAUCGAAAGAUGAAAAGCACUUUGAAAAGAGGGUUAAAUAGCACGUGAAAUUGUUGAAAGGGAAGCGCUUGUGACCAGACUUGCGCCCGGCUGAUCAUCCGGUGUUCUCACCGGUGCACUCUGCCGGGCUCAGGCCAGCAUCGGUUCUCGCGGGGGGAUAAAGGCCCUGGGAACGUAGCUCCUCCGGGAGUGUUAUAGCCCAGGGUGUAAUGCCCUCGCGGGGACCGAGGUUCGCGCAUCUGCAAGGAUGCUGGCGUAAUGGUCAUCAGCGACCCGUCUUGAAACACGGACCAAGGAGUCAAGGUUUUGCGCGAGUGUUUGGGUGUAAAACCCGCACGCGUAAUGAAAGUGAACGUAGGUGAGAGCUUCGGCGCAUCAUCGACCGAUCCUGAUGUUUUCGGAUGGAUUUGAGUAGGAGCGUUAAGCCUUGGACCCGAAAGAUGGUGAACUAUGCUUGGAUAGGGUGAAGCCAGAGGAAACUCUGGUGGAGGCUCGCAGCGGUUCUGACGUGCAAAUCGAUCGUCAAAUCUGAGCAUGGGGGCGAAAGACUAAUCGAACCAUCUAGUAGCUGGUUACCGCCGAAGUUUCCCUCAGGAUAGCAGUGUUGUUCUUCAGUUUUAUGAGGUAAAGCGAAUGAUUAGGGACUCGGGGGCGCUUUUUAGCCUUCAUCCAUUCUCAAACUUUAAAUAUGUAAGAAGCCCUUGUUACUUAAUUGAACGUGGGCAUUCGAAUGUACCAACACUAGUGGGCCAUUUUUGGUAAGCAGAACUGGCGAUGCGGGAUGAACCGAACGCGGGGUUAAGGUGCCGGAGUGGACGCUCAUCAGACACCACAAAAGGCGUUAGUACAUCUUGACAGCAGGACGGUGGCC
rnacentral:rRNA from 1 species